rnacentral:rRNA from 1 species
UACGGAGGGGGCUAGCGUUGUUCGGAAUUACUGGGCGUAAAGCGCGCGUAGGCGGCUUUGUAAGUUAGAGGUGAAAGCCCGGAGCUCAACUCCGGAAUUGCCUUUAAGACUGCAUCGCUAGAAUCAUGGAGAGGUGAGUGGAAUUCCGAGUGUAGAGGUGGAAAUUCGUAGAUAUUCGGAAGAACACCAGUGGCGAAGGCGACUCACUGGACAUGUAUUGACGCUGAGGUGCGAAAGCGUGGGGAGCAAACAGG